GACGAACGCUGGCGGCGUGCCUAAUACAUGCAAGUCGAACGCUUCUUUCCUCCCGAGUGCUUGCACUCAAUUGGAAAGAGGAGUGGCGGACGGGUGAGUAACACGUGGGUAACCUACCCAUCAGAGGGGGAUAACACUUGGAAACAGGUGCUAAUACCGCAUAACAGUUUAUGCCGCAUGGCAUAAGAGUGAAAGGCGCUUUCGGGUGUCGUUGAUGGAUGGACCCGCGGUGCAUUAGCUAGUUGGUGAGGUAACGGCUCACCAAGGCCACGAUGCAUAGCCGACCUGAGAGGGUGAUCGGCCACACUGGGACUGAGACACGGCCCAGACUCCUACGGGAGGCAGCAGUAGGGAAUCUUCGGCAAUGGACGAAAGUCUGACCGAGCAACGCCGCGUGAGUGAAGAAGGUUUUCGGAACGUAAAACUCUGUUGUUAGAGAAGAACAAGGACGUUAGUAACUGAACGUCCCCUGACGGUAUCUAACCAGAAAGCCACGGCUAACUACGUG
rnacentral:rRNA from 1 species